GAUGAAGAACGUAGCGAAAUUCGAUAAGUAAUGUGAAUUGCAGAAUUCAGUGAAUCAUCGAAUCUUUGAACGCACAUUGCGCCCCUUGGUAUUCCGGGGGGCAUGCCUGUUCGAGCGUCAUUUCAACCCUCAAGCUCUGCUUGGUAUUGGGCACCGUCCUUUGCGGGCGCGCCUCAAAGACCUCGGCGGUGGCGUCUUGCCUCAAGCGUAGUAGAAUACACCUCGCUUCGGAGCGUAAGGCGUCGCCCGCCGGACGAACCUUCUGAACUUUUCUCAAGGUUGACCUCGGAUCAGGUAGGGAUACCCGCUGAACUUAAGCAUAUCAAUAAGCGGAGGA
rnacentral:misc_RNA from 1 species